UACGAAGGGUGCAAACGUUGCUCGGAAUCAUUGGGCGUAAAGCGCACGUAGGCGGCUUCGCAAGUCGGAUGUGAAAUCCCUCGGCUCAACCGAGGACGUGCAUACGAAACUGCGGAGCUUGAGUGCUGAAGAGGAUCGCGGAAUUCCCGGUGUAGAGGUGAAAUUCGUAGAUAUCAGGAGGAACACCAAUAGCGAAGGCAGCUCGCUGGGACGGUACUGACGCUAAGGCGCGAAAGCGUGGGGAGCGAACAGG
rnacentral:rRNA from 1 species